rnacentral:rRNA from 1 species
UAGUCUACGCCGUAAACGAUGGAUACUAGCUGUUCGGAUCUAUCUGAGUGGCUAAGCGAAAGUGAUAAGUAUCCCACCUGGGGAGUACGUUCGCAAGAAUGAAACUCAAAGGAAUUGACGGGGGCCCGCACAAGCGGUGGAGCAUGUGGUUUAAUUCGAUGAUACGCGAGGAACCUUACCAGGGCUUAAAUGUAGAUUGACAGGUUUAGAGAUAGACUUUUCUUCGGACAAUUUACAAGGUGCUGCAUGGUUGUCGUCAGCUCGUGCCGUGAGGUGUCAGGUUAAGUCCUAUAACGAGCGCAACCCCUGUUGUUAGUUGCCUAGCAUGUAAAGAUGGGAACUCUAACAAGACUAGUCAGUGCAAACUGUGAGGAAGGUGGGGAUGACGUCAAAUCAUCACGGCCCUUACGUCCUGGGCUACACACGUGCUACAAUGUAGGGACAGAGAGCAGCCACUGGGCACCNGAGCGAAUCUAUAAACUCUAAUCACAGUUCGG